GAUGAACGCUGGCGGCGUGCUUAACACAUGCAAGUCGAACGUGAAGGACCGACUUCGGUUGGUCUGGAAAGUGGCGAACGGGUGAGUAACACGUAGGUAACCUGCCUGGCAGCGGGGGAU
rnacentral:rRNA from 1 species